AAAUGUUGACAUUGCGGAAUUCGGGGCCCGUCAUUUCAGAGUCUUAGACAUUUUUCAUUUUUCAGCAAUUUAUUAAUAUCUUGUCAUCUGCCAGAUAAUUUCUUUGUGUGUAUUCGCAGGAUAGCAUGAUUCCGUUGCAUCUAAAAUGACGACCAACCACUCUUUCCCGCUCCAUGAAUGUGUUUUUCAUGACGAUCUGAAACAACUUUCAGUUCUUCUUCGCUCGCACAAAUACGAUAUUGCACAGAAAGAUGUGCACGGAAACUCACCACUUCAUCUAUCUGUCAUCCUGGGUCAUAAAGAUUGUAUGCACCUGUUAUUAGCCCACGGUGCACCUGUCAAAUCCAAAAAUGUCCAUGGAUGGAACCCAUUAGCAGAAGCCAUCAGUUAUGGAGACAGGAAUACAAUAUCCCUGUUGCUACGGAAACUGAAACAACAAUCGCGGGAGCUCCUGGAGCAGAGGAGGCCUCAACUCGUCCAGCUUCUAACAGAACUAGGUGACUUCUACAUGGAGCUUCAUUGGGAUUUUCAAAGCUGGGUUCCGUUAGUGUCAAGAAUUCUACCGUCGGACACCUGUAGGAUCUACAAGAAGGGCGCUCAGAUACGUUUGGAUACGACCCUUGUGGAUUUCUCGGAGAUGAAGUGGCAGAAAGGCGACCUGACCUUUCUUUUCGAUGGUACGGUGACCCCUGAAAGGUCGCUGGUCUUUCUCGACAACGAGAGUAAAGUCUACCAAAGAUUAUCCUACGAGCAAUCAGAAGCAGAGCUGGAAGAAGAGGUCGAUAUCCUAAUGAGUAGCGACAUCGUGACGGUCAACCUAUCAACCAAACCGAUCACCUUCAAUAGAUCUCAGAGUGGAUGGCUGUUCAGGGAAGAUAAACGAGAGCUCGUUGGAAGCUUCUUUGCCAACUUCUACGAUGUCAGCGGGGUCGUUAUAGAAUCAAGAAAAAGAAGAGAACAUUUAUCAGACGAAGAUAUACAAAGGAACAAGGCAGCAGUAGAGAGUAUAAGUAAAGGAUCCCCUUCCUUAGAUUGCUUUCCAAGCCAAAGAAGACCUUCAUUACCUCCACCUCCUGAGUCAGUGCUGACAUGGGAGGAGUAUAUUCAUGCCGAUAGAGGAAGAGCCUUAACCUUGCUAGGGAGACCUCAAAUCAGCAAAGAGAUGAGAAAGAUGUUCAAAGCAACAGUUGCCAUGAGUGAAGACUUCCCAAUGGAGGUGACAGACUUACUAAACAUGCUUGAAGUGCUAACCUCAAUGAAACAUUUCAACAAGUUAAGAGACUUCGUCCAGAUGAAACUACCGCCAGGGUUUCCAAUUAAGAUAGAUGUUCCCGUCCUACCAACCAUAACGGCGCGCGUCACGUUCCAAGCCUUCCAAUUCAGAGACAACAUCAGCCCUUCACGCUUUACCAUUCCAUCGGACUACAGAGAAAACACCAGUAGAUUUCGUGACCUUUAACCUUGACAUCAUAGCGAAUGACAUUAGGAGUUUCCUGGCAAGCUGAAUGGGGUGCUGCUUCAGGGGUGGCUGAUUUUCUCAAGCGUUUCUGACAUAGCACCAAGUUUGAGUCUUUCUUCCAUGGAAAUGUUUGUUUUAAAACAUGUUUUAAAAUGCAUUUGGAAUUUAUUUGAAUCAUUUUUUUUAAACGGGAAUGAAAUUAGGAGUUUCCUGGCAAGCUGAAUGGGGUGCUGCUUCAGGGGUGUGUGCUUUUCUCAAGCAUUUCUGACAUAGCACCAAGUUUGAGUCUUUCUUCCAGUUUUGGCACAAUAGAAAUGUUUGUUUUAAAACAUGUUUUGAAAUGCAUUGGAAUUUAUUUGAAUCAUUUUUAAAUGAAAAUGAAAUUAGGAGUUUCCUUGCAAGCUGAAUAGGUACUGCUUCAGGGACAUCUGAUUUCCUCAAGGUUUUCUGACAUAGCACCAGUGCUGACAACUGUCAUGAAACGCUCCCCAUAAAUAUGACAAAUGUGUGUGCUUUGUCAUUUUUUUUUCAUCCACACAUUCCCGUUUUCAAAGGGUACGUGCAUAGAGUGAUAGACCAAGUAUUAUGGUUCUACUGGCUAUCCAUAGUUGUGAUCAAUUAAAUUAAUCACACUCCCUUGUGGAACAGGGCCCAAAACUAGUUGUGAAGAUUGCUGCAAAGUUGGUCAUUUGUGACAAAGAUCAUGAAAGAGUACGGGUACAGAGAAGAUGAAUGUAAUCUAGAAUUAUUUAAUCAUAUUUGAUUUCAAGAUGAUAUUAUCAUGUACUGACUGUGAUUGAUUUUGGAUUGUUAGAUUGUAGAUAUCAU
rnacentral:misc_RNA from 1 species